rnacentral:rRNA from 1 species
AGUGAACGCUGGCGGUAGGCCUAACACAUGCAAGUCGAACGGCAGCACAGUAAGUUCUUGCUCUUACGUGUGGCGAGUGGCGUUCGGUUGAGCUAUACUUCGGUAUCUACUUUUUCUUUGUGGAUUACGUAGGGAAACUUACGCUACUACCUCUUACUUCCUCCGGGUGAAUUCAUGUGUUCUUCUGAUCUUGCGCGUUUUUAUUUGCCGAUUUCGGAGUAGCUAGUUGGCGGGGUAAAGGCCCACCAAGGCGACGAUCCGUAGCUGGUCUGAGAGGAUGAUCAGCCACACUGGAACUGAGACACGGUCCAGACUCCUACGGGAGGCAGCAGUGGGGAAUAUUGGACAAUGGGCGCAAGCAUGAUCCAGCAAUACCGCGUGGGUGAAGAAGGCCUUCGGGUUGUAAAGCCCUUUUGUUGGGAAAGAAAAGCAGCAGGUUAAUACCCCGCUGUUCUGACGGUACCCAAAGAAUAAGCACCGGCUAACUUCGUG